GGCCCACCAAGGCGACGAUCAGUAGGGGUUCUGAGAGGAAGGUCCCCCACAUUGGAACUGAGACACGGUCCAAACUCCUACGGGAGGCAGCAGUGAGGAGUAUUGGUCAAUGGACGAGAGUCUGAACCAGCCAAGUAGCGUGCAGGAUGACGGCCCUAUGGGUUGUAAACUGCUUUUAUAAGGGAAUAAAGUGAGUCUCGUGAGACUUUUUGCAUGUACCUUAUGAAUAAGGGCCGGCUAAUUCCGUGCCAGCAGCCGCGGUAAUACGGAAGGUCCGGGCGUUAUCCGGAUUUAUUGGGUUUAAAGGGAGCGUAGGCCGGAGAUUAAGCGUGUUGUGAAAUGUAGACGCUCAACGUCUGCACUGCAGCGCGAACUGGUUUCCUUGAGUACGCACAAAGUGGGCGGAAUUCGUGGUGUAGCGGUGAAAUGCUUAGAUAUCACGAAGAACUCCGAUUGCGAAGGCAGCUCACUGGAGCGCAACUGACGCUGAAGCUCGAAAGUGCGGGUAUCGAACAGGAUUAGAUACCCUGGUAGUCCGCACGGUAAACGAUGGAUGCCCGCUGUUGGUCUGAAUAGGUCAGCGGCCAAGCGAAAGCAUUAAGCAUCCCACCUGGGGAGUACGCCGGCAACGGUGAAACUCAAAGGAAUUGACGGGGGCCCGCACAAGCGGA
rnacentral:rRNA from 1 species